rnacentral:tRNA from 1 species
GCGCCGGUGGUCUAAUGGCUAUGACUACGGCCUUCCAAGCCGUGUAUCCGGGUUCAAAUCCCGGCCGGCGCA